rnacentral:rRNA from 1 species
CAGUAGCCGCGGGAAUACGAAGGGGGCUAGCGUUGCUCGGAAUGACUGGCGUAAAGGGCGCGUAGGCGGCGAUCAAAGUCAGGCGUGAAAUUCCUGGGCUCAACCUGGGGGCUGCGUUUGAUACUUGAUUGCUAGAGUGGGGAAGAGGGUCGUGGAAUUCCCAGUGUAGAGGUGAAAUGUGUAGAUAUCGGAAGGAACACCUGUGGCGAAAGCGGCUCACUGGACCAUUUCUGACGCUGAUGCACGAAAGCUAGGGGAGCAAACAGGAUUAGAUACCCGUGUAGUCCCUGUCUCUUAUACA